UUUCCGUAGGUGAACCUGCGGAAGGAUCAUUAUCGAGUUUUGACUGGGGUGUGGCUGGCCUUCCGAGGCAUGUGAACGCCCUGCUCAUCCACUCUACACCUGUGCACUUACUGCGGGUAUAAGAUCGUGAAGCGUGCUCUUUUACCGGAGCUUGUGAAGCGUGUCUGUGACUGCGUUUAUCACAAACACUAUAAAGUAUCAGAAUGUGAAUUACGAUGUAACGCAUCUAUAUACAACUUUCAGCAACGGAUCUCUUGGCUCUC
rnacentral:misc_RNA from 1 species